AUUGAACGCUGGCGGCAUGCCUUACACAUGCAAGUCGAACGGCAGCACGGGAGCAAUCCUGGUGGCGAGUGGCGAACGGGUGAGUAAAGUAUCGGAACGUACCUUUCAGUGGGGGAUAACGUAGCGAAAGUUACGCUAAUACCGCAUAUUCUGUGAGCAGGAAAGCAGGGGAUCGCAAGACCUUGCGCUGAUGGAGCGGCCGAUAUCAGAUUAGCUAGUUGGUGAGGUAAAGGCUCACCAAGGCGACGAUCCGUAGCGGGUCUGAGAGGAUGAUCCGCCACACUGGGACUGAGACACGGCCCAGACUCCUACGGGAGGCAGCAGUGGGGAAUUUUGGACAAUGGGCGAAAGCCUGAUCCAGCCAUGCCGCGUGAGUGAAGAAGGCC
rnacentral:rRNA from 1 species